rnacentral:rRNA from 1 species
GGUUGCGGGUGUCGGCGUGUUGUUGCCUCACUUGUUGGGGGCUCA